AAUAAAGAGAACAUGAUGUUGGUUCAGAUCUAAUGCUAUGUAGAGACAUAACACAUGCAAGUUAAUAAAUUAAGCGUUAAGGUGAGUAUUAUAAGAUAAUUAAUUAAUCUUAUACAGAUGUAGGUAAUAGAUAUUUCUAGCCAUGGAACUGAAGCCGAUGAUAAACGUCACAACGGCCACAUUGAUAUAAAUCAACUCUUAUAAAGAGCAGCAGUGGGGAAUCUUUGACAAUGGUCUAACGACUGAUCAAGUUAUCUACGAGAAAAAUAUUAAAAAAAAAGAAUUAAUAAAAGAUAAACUAUAAAUUUCUAAAUAAUAGUAAUAAUGAUACUAAUUAUGAAAGAGUCCUAACUAAAAUAUGUGCCAGCAGCUGCGGUUAGACAUAGAGGGCAAGCAUUGAUCAGAAUGGCUUAAAGGAUCUGUAGAACGUAUUAUAAAUAUAGAAUAAUAAAAGGGUAAUAAGAAUUAAAGUUAGAGGGAUAAAAUCCUAAGAAAACAUUAAGACUAUAAAGAGAUUACUUAAAAUUAUUGACGUUGUGAGAUGAAGGCUACGGUAGCGACAUGGAUUCGAUACCCAUUUAGUCGUAGCAGUAAACGAUGAAUACAAUAAAAAGAAAAAUGAAAAUGAAUAGUAUUCCGCCUGACUAGUACGCUCGCAAGGGUGAAAUACAAGACAUUAGACGGUUGUAGUCCCAAGCAGUGGAACAUGUCAUUUAAUUGGAUGAUCCUCCAAAAACCUUACCAUCUAUUGAAUAUUUUACAGGCGUUACAUCGUUGUCGUCAGUUCAUGCCGUGAGGUUUAAUAUUAAGUUAUUGAAUGAACGUAACCCUUUUCUAAUAAUAAAGAUAAGUAUAAUUGUAAAAUUAUAGGAAGUAGAGGUUGAAGACUAAUCAUGAUGACCCUAAUGAGAUGGGCUAUCGACGUGUUACAAUAUUAAUAACAAUUAAAUUAAGACCGCACCGAAGGUGCGGGGAUAUUAAGUUAAAUUAAAUAUUAAGAAAAAGACAUAGUUUCAUUUAUGGAUUGUAAUCUGAAAUUCGGUUACAUAAAGGAGGAAUUGCUAGUAAUCGUAAACAAUAGAGUUACGGUGAAAUUUUUUGCUACUUCGUACUAACCACUCAUCAACAGCAAGAAAUUUAAUUUUUACUUAUUGAGUUUAUAUUUAAAGGACUUGCUGUAAGUUGAAAUACGGUUCGGUUAGGGGAACCUGAUCGGGAUUUAUUUAUUUA
rnacentral:rRNA from 1 species